rnacentral:rRNA from 1 species
UACGUAGGGUGCAAGCGUUGUCCGGAAUUAUUGGGCGUAAAGAGCUCGUAGGCGGUUUGUCGCGUCUGCUGUGAAAACCCGAGGCUCAACCUCGGGCCUGCAGUGGGUACGGGCAGACUAGAGUGGCGGUAGGGGAGAUUGGAAUUCCCGGUGUAGAGGUGAAAUUCGUAGAUAGUCGGGAGGAACACCGGUGGCGAAGGCGGCGACCUGGGUAGAUACUGACGCUGAGGUGCGAAAGCGUGGGGAGCAAACAGG